AGCUGGCUACCAGUAGGGAAUGAUCUUGUCUGGAGAUCCCUUCUUCUGGUGUUUUGUGGUGAGCCCAGCAUAAGGGUUGGCUGCCUGACUGUGAAGGGGGGGGUGAUGAAGUCUGAAGAAAUACUGAAGAAAACCCUGGCUAUGAGGACCUGCUGGGCUGUGGUCUCACUAGAUGUCAACCAUCUAGGAGAAGAAGGCAGCAGAUAAGUUUGCAUUGACUCCUUCCAGCCCAGGCAAGGGCCCAACUGACCAUGGUCAGGGGAAGAAAGAUUGGUUGCUAUCAGCACCUGGACCACAGUGAACAUUAAGGUUUAUUCUCUCGAGAAUGUAUUAAAGGAGAUGCAUGCUUUAUCA